ensembl:lncRNA
CUGAAAAGAAGCGAGGCUUCUUACAAAUGGCUAUAAUCAAUGACAACAAACCAUUGAGGCCCUUGUAGCCCAGAUGAAGGGGAGAUGACUGGAUGAGGAGGGGAAAGGAGAGAGUGAGCAGCAGCAGUGUCAGAGCAGAGAUGGGAGUAGGAUGAAACUGAAAGGAGCUCAUUUGGCUAGGGGAAGAGCUAGGGAGGUCUGAAGACAUAAGAACAAGAAAUUUAAACCAGAGGCAGUCAAAGGUGUCAGCACAAGGAUUGAGAGGGAAAGAUAACAAGGUCCCAGGGAUGGGCAAGGACAGGGAUUCUGACAGCUGCCUUUCGCAGGGCCUGACGUGGGAGGUGCAGGUGUCAGCAGAGACUACCAUAAGAAAAACAAGAGCCAGCACAUAAAUCUUAUUUCCUCUGUUUGAGUAGGAAGAAAAGGCCAGCUGGGGUAAAUCUUUUUUGGGAAAUAAUUAUCAGGAUUUAAACAGACCCUAAAUGCGUAGGCCACGGAGGUGGUUGUAACAAUGUGGAAUUGCAGAUACAACACACCAACAGAAGAGAGAAAGAGAGCUCCAUUGUCCUUCCUGAAAUUAGGUUUAGUGAGCUUUAUUUGCACUUAAACAGUAAUAGCAAACUAAGACCCACACGCACAUCAAUCUUGGAGAGACCCAGAUAUCCGAGGUACAACAGAAUGCUCACGAGGGCUUCCAGUGUGGGAGAAAAAACCUAGACACAAACCUCUAUAGAUGACUGAUGUACCCUAUAUCCAUGCAUUGUUGUCUGCUACUGUAAUUUUCAAAAAGAUCAUUAGCAGAAAGUGUUGGAGAUCAGCUGAGAAAAGACACUGUAUGAGAAAGAAAAUUCAGGUAAGAGUAAGGAUACUUUGUGGGAAAGAAAAGAAACACAGUGAACAUAAAUCACAUGGCGUGACUGAGGGUUUGGCUUGAGUAAAUUAAAGCGUGAUGCUCCCAUACAGGCAGCUGCGGGCAGAUGGACAGAUGGACAGUUAACUAAAAGACAAAGAGAACCAGGAGAAAACAAAAGUUUGGCUGGGGGAAGAAGGCUGUUCUCCAAAAAACCUUUUUUUAAAGCAAAGGGGUGUGUUAAAGUGAUUCCGAGCAACUGCAAUGAAGUAAUUAAUAACAGGUCCAAAGCUUGGUUGAGGCUAUUUGUCCUUACUAAGAAAUUCACAGAGAAGAAUGCAGAAGAGUAGUGUAUUUGAACAAAAUAAGGGGAAAAUUGAAACAGUCUUUAAGGUAUCAAAGACCAAAGGGAUUUGUUAUAGGAAAUACUUGAGUGGAGGGGAAGGAUUUUUGGAGGACUGAAGAAACCAGUGCCUGUUCUGUACAAGGAUAACACUAAAGAAUAAUGAGAAAAAGCAAAUAAAGGAAUAAGAAAGGAGAGAGAAGAAUUAAUAAAUAAAAGGGCAACAAAGGUGAGAGAGAGACCCAGAAAUAACAGCAAGUGCUCCUAACUAGUUACAGCAUCAGUCCUGUGGCUGGGAAAAGGAAAGAGUUUUAUGGGAAGAGAAAUGAGACAGAAAGAGACCAAGCACGGGGAGAAAAACAGCUGUGGUUAAUAUCCACCUACUCUUUGAAAAGCAACAUAGCCUGGUAACUGGAUCCUGAAAGAAGCUGAAGUGAUGGACAGAAGAAAGAGGCUGCAGAAGGCAAGCUGUGAUGGAAGAAAGGAAAAAAAGCAGGUCUUCAUAGCCUGCUCCCAAAUCACAGCAGGUAUCGACACCAUUCAGAAAAAGACAAGGACAGCCAACAGCAGAGCAAUAGGUUUGAGACUCCUUAGAAAAAUCAGGUAUGUUCAGCUCCAUCAGGUCAGAUGGGUUUUACUGGAGGAUCUGAGAGGACUGACUGAUGUGACUGCGAGGCUGUUGUCAAUUACCCAUGAAAGGCUAACAUUGUUCCAUCUUUAGGGAGGUCAGGGAAGAGGACCUGGAGUAUAGUCCGUCAGCCAUUCUCACCACUGCCCCUGGAAAACAUCCUCUCAGAGUCCCUCUUCAAAGACGGAAAGGACAAGGCUAGUAGAAGCAGUCAGCAGUUUAAGGGCAGAUCAUGAUCAACCCAGCUGACUUUCUUCCAUGAAGGAAGGGCCUGAACGGAGAGUGCUGGCAGUGAAAUGCUUCAUUCAGACUUCUGACAUCAUCUCCCACAGCAGUCUCUUUU